UAGGCAAACAAAAAUUUAAAGUCAUUUGUUUUCCCACCAUUUUAUUCGCGCGACAAAACACAAAACUAACGUCGUCGUCGGCGUAUAAAACGAGAAACUCUCAGACCACGUUAACUUUUCUCAAAGUCUGCUGCUUGUUAUUUUCACACAGCUCUCGUUUAAGAUGUCCUCACUACAGUCCAUAAUGGACCCCGAUUUCGAAUCGGAUAAAUGUGUUUGCCAAAGGCCUUUAGUCUCCGUUAUGUGUCGUAACUGUGGAUAUAGGCUCAGUAAUUGCCGGAAGAGAAUUAAAUGUUCAGAACAUCCUAACGUUAGCUACAUUCAAGAUUUGACUGAAUGCCCACAGUGCCACAAUUCAAAUGAUUAUCUGCAUGAGUAUGAUUCCUCCAAGAGUUUUCACGCCAGGCUCCAUACUAAGCAACAGACUAAAACCAGGAGUUAUUGACUUUAUUCAAUGUUAUUUUUCAAGCAACAGACCAUCCCCACACUUGUUCAGGCCCCCAAUUCCUUAUUUGUCAUCUCUUGCUACUGUUUAAUCUAGAUGAAAUUUAAAAUUACUUUUCAUUGCUUGUUAAUCAGGUAGACAACCAGUCUUUCAUUUGAAAGGUAUGGUGUUCUAUUUAAUCCACAAAAUUGGUUAUAUGUUCAAUAAAGCAUUCAGUCAAUAUCUA